rnacentral:rRNA from 1 species
UACGUAGGGUGCGAGCGUUGUCCGGAAUUACUGGGCGUAAAGGGCGCGCAGGCGGCGCGGUAAGUCACUUGUGAAAUCUCUGAGCUUAACUCAGAACGGCCAAGUGAUACUGCAGUGCUAGAGUGUGGAAGGGGCAAUCGGAAUUCUUGGUGUAGCGGUGAAAUGCGUAGAUAUCAAGAGGAACACCUGAGGUGAAGGCGGGUUGCUGGGCCAACACUGACGCUGAGGCGCGAAAGCCAGGGGAGCAAACGGG